ACAGGUGGUGGCAUGGUUGUUCGUCAGCUCGUGUCGUGAGAUGUUGGGUUAAGUCCCGCAACGAGCGCAACCCUUGUGUUUAGUUGCAAACAGGUCAAGCUGUGCACUCUAGACAGACUGCCGUGGACAACACGGAGGAAGGUGGGGAUGACGUCAAAUCAUCAUGCCCCUUAUGAUCUGGGCUACACACGUGCUACAAUGGCCGGUACAACGGGCAGCGAAGGAGCGAUCCGGAGCGAAUCCUAAAAAGCCGGUCCCAGUUCGGAUUGCAGGCUGAAACUCGCCUACAUGAAGUUGGAGUUGCAAGUAAUCGCGAAUCAGAAUGUCGCGGUGAAUGCGUUCCCGGGUCUU
rnacentral:rRNA from 1 species